UGGGAUGUAACUCAAUGGUAGAGUACCCGUCUUAUACGCGGUUAGUUGAGAGUUCGAAUCUCUCCAUCCCGACUA
rnacentral:tRNA from 1 species